rnacentral:rRNA from 1 species
UACGAAGGGUGCAAGCGUUGUUCGGAAUUACUGGGCGUAAAGGGUUCGUAGGCGGGAAUGUAAGUUGAAUGUGAAAAACCCCGGGCUUAACCUGGGACGUGCAUCCAAAACUGCGUUUCUUGAGUGUCUGAGAGGGUCGUGGAAUUGCUGGUGUAGGAGUGACAUCCGUAGAGAUCAGCAGGAACACCGGAGGCGAAAGCGACGACCUGGCAGAACACUGACGCUGAGGAACGAAAGCGUGGGGAGCAAAC